ACACAGCAGCCAGAAGUCCUCUUGUCAUCUCUCACCUUUUAAAACUACCCAUGCCAUUCAGAUGCCCCUUAGCCUUUACUGCCUUGUUGUGUACUUUUUUUGUGGACCUAUCUUAUCCAUGGAAGAGGACAAAAUGCUGCAGAGUGGCUACCAUAGCUCUACGCUGCAGGAUUUUCAGCAGAACUGUGAGGAAUACCACAUCAAUUCCUUUCCAUGAAGUCCAAAGGAUCUGAUCUCAGGUGUGACCAGCAUCUUCAAGGCCCAUGGCCACAUCUAAGUUUCUGGAUGCAGGAAGAAGCAGGAAAUAAGAAAAUGGACAUAUACCAGUUUUCUCCUAGAGAAGGCCUCCAGAAAUUGCCAAAGAACACUUUCAUCUGCAUCCUCUUGGCCAGAGUUUAUCUGCAUGGUUACACAGAGCUGCAAGUUAGGCUGGGAAAUGAAGCCUUUUCUUUGGGUUGCUAUGUCCAGCUAAAAAUUUUAUUACAAUUAAAGAAGUGGGAAAAAAAAAAAAAAGAACCCUGAUGGAACGCCGGCAAGCAGCUCUGCUACGCCAGUUAUAUAAUUCUACAAAGUAAAACCAAGCACUGUCUUCCCAUUGCCCCGGGGAAAAAUAUAAAGCCCUUAAUGGAAUGAACAUGACUAUUCCCAGACUGGCGCCUGUCCACCUGUCCAAUGCAUCAUCUCUGUCAUUCUUCCCAGUCUUCCCUGUGCUCCAGUUAUACUGGACUUCUUCAGCUCCUUGAAGAAAGUGAGUUCUUUCUCACUUUCCAAAUCCUUAGGAAACUUUUUCCAUCUUUGCUCUUUCAUCUAAGUCAUUCUUCCUCAUCUUGAAAGAAUCUGCUUAAAUGCCACCUCUCUCAGGAGGUCUAACAUCCUUUAGGUGUUUCCCCUCGCUUUAUACAUCUGUGGCUUCGUAAGACUCAUGUCACAAGUGAUUUCUUAUUUAAUGACUUUCUUACCCACUCAACUAAAGAAUUCAUGGAGACAGGCACUUCAUCUAUUUUAUUCAUCAUUGCAUUCUUGGUUAUCUAACACAGUAUUUUUAUUUUUAGGUAAAAUUUACCUAGAGUAAAAUGUAUAGAUCCUAAGUGUUUUCUCCUAUGUAACCAAUACCCUAAUCAAAUAUAAAACAUCUCCAUCCCCCUGAGGAGUUGCCUUAUUUCUUCUAAUCAAUCCCUACCCCUCAGAGUAACUUCUAUUUUAUUUUCUAUCAUUAUAGAGUGGCUUUGCUUGUUUUUGUACAUCAUAUAAAUGGAAUCAUGCAGUAAA